rnacentral:tRNA from 1 species
AUUCAAUUAGUAUAUGAAGUAUAUUAAGCUUCCAACUUAGGGGAUAAGAAAAUUAAUUGAAUA